rnacentral:rRNA from 1 species
UACGUAGGGGGCUAGCGUUGUCCGGAAUCAUUGGGCGUAAAGCGCGUGUAGGCGGUCCGGUAAGUCCGCUGUGAAAGUCGAGGGCUCAACCCUCGAAUGCCGGUGGAUACUGUCGGGCUUGAGUACGGGAGAGGCGAGUGGAAUUCCUGGUGUAGCGGUGAAAUGCGCAGAUAUCAGGAGGAACACCGAUUGCGAAGGCAGCUCGCUGGAACGUUACUGACGCUGAGACGCGAAAGCGGGGGGAGCAAACAGG